rnacentral:lncRNA from 1 species
CCUCCGGCAUCCAGGUGCGCUACCUGAAGAUCAUUGAGAAGAGUGGGUACCAGGCCCUGCCCUGGGUGCGUUAUAUCACGCAGAAUGGAGAUUACCAGCUCCGGACCCAGUGAGGGGCUGUCGCAGCCAACACCCCGGCCUCGGGGCUCCUGGUGGCAGCACCAGGGGACACACCUGCCAAACCCACCAGAUGGAGGGGCCCUCCCUGGUCUCUGGCCACCCUCCCAGCCUCUGCCCAGGGACCCCUGCCUUCCCCAGGCCAUCUGCUCUGCCGUCGACACUCGUCUCAGAAGCCCCUUUCCCAGAAGAGGCUGGUCUUCAAGAAGUCUCGUUUCUUUGCCCCUGAAGUCAGUUUCAGGGGAAGGAUGUGAAAUUUUUCCGUGUAGAGGUUACAGCCUUUUAUGCUGUUGAGCUCCCAGGUACCAAAAAGCUUGGCCAACGCUUGCCAGCCAGCCAGCUGCAGGUGGCAUCUGCCACGAAGGAAGCGCCAGCCUCGCCAGGCCAGCAGGGGCGUCGUUUUGUUGCCAUUUUGUUGAACGUUAUGGGUUUAUGGGUGUUCCUGGAACUUGUCUUUGUGCAUUCGUUGCUGUUUGUGUUACCCUCACUGUCCCCAUGUCCCACCCACGUCCUACGGCACUCAGGAAGCACUUGGUGAGGACGAGCCCUCACCCUUCUUGUCUUCCUUCCCGGCAGCGCCCGCAGCGGGCCAUUUACACGUCGAGGCUGGCACCUGGCGCGCUCGGGGGCCACUGUAGCGUCUGCCUGCUCCCUGGACUCGCAGGCCUCGCCUGUGGCGCCUUCCCAGGGCCAGCCUGGGUCACGAGAUGCUGUCACUCAGCCAGAUCAGUAUUGACCCACCAGGGGAGGUGGGGUUUGGUGAGAGACGCCAGCCUCAGACUUUUUCCCACUGAGGGUCCAGAGAGCGGGGCCACGUGUCACCCACGUCUGCGCUUGGUCACCCGUCCUCCCCACCCUGUGUGUGUUUAUGUCAUAGUUACAUUAAAUUCCAUUCAUUG